UACAGAGGUCUCAAGCGUUGUCCGGAUUUAUUGGGUUUAAAGGGUGCGUAGGCGGUUCUAUAAGUCAGUGGUGAAAUACGGCAGCUCAACUGUCGAGGUGCCAUUGAUACUGUAGAACUUGAGUACAGACGAGGUAGGCGGAAUUGACGGUGUAGCGGUGAAAUGCUUAGAUAUCGUCAAGAACACCGAUAGCGAAGGCAGCUUACUAGGCUGUAACUGACGCUGAGGCACGAAAGUGUGGGGAUCAAACAGG
rnacentral:rRNA from 1 species